GCUUUGAAGUGUGGACGCCAGUCUGCAUGGAGCCGACCUUGAAAUACCACCCUUUAAUGUUUGAUGUUCUAACGUGGACCCGUUACCCGGGUUGCGGACAGUGUCUGGUGGGUAGUUUGACUGGGGCGGUCUCCUCCUAAAGAGUAACGGAGGAGCACGAAGGUUGGCUAAUCCUGGUCGGACAUCAGGAGGUUAGUGCAAUGGCAUAAGCCAGCUUGACUGCGAGCGUGACGGCGCGAGCAGGUGCGAAAGCAGGUCAUAGUGAUCCGGUGGUUCUGAAUGGAAGGGCCAUCGCUCAACGGAUAAAAGGUACUCCGGGGAUAACAGGCUGAUACCGCCCAAGAGUUCAUAUCGACGGCGGUGUUUGGCACCUCGAUGUCGGCUCAUCACAUCCUGGGGCUGAAGUAGGUCCCAAGGGUAUGGCUGUUCGCCAUUUAAAGUGGUACGCGAGCUGGGUUUAGAACGUCGUGAGACAGUUCGGUCCCUAUCUGCCGUGGGCGCUGGAGAACUGAGGGGGGCUGCUCCUAGUACGAGAGGACCGGAGUGGACGCAUCACUGGUGUUCGGGUUGUCAUGCCAAUGGCACUGCCCGGUAGCUAAAUGCGGAAGAGA
rnacentral:rRNA from 1 species